GCUGGCGGCACGCUUAACACAUGCAAGUCGAACGGGAUCUUCGGAUCUAGUGGCAGACGGGUGAGUAACGCGUGGGAACCUGCCCUAUAGUAGAGAACAACUCGAGGAAACUUGAGCUAAUACUUUAUACGCCCUUUGGGGGAAAGCUUUAUGCGCUAUUGGAUGGGCCCGCGUUAGAUUAGUUUGUUGGUGAGGUAACGGCUCACCAAGACGUCGAUCUAUAGCUGGUCUGAGAGGAUGAUCAGCCACACUGGGACUGAGACACGGCCCAGACUCCUACGGGAGGCAGCAGUGGGGAAUAUUGGACAAUGGGGGCAACCCUGAUCCAGCGAUGCCGCGUGAGUGAUGAAGGCCUUAGGGUUGUAAAACUCUUUCGUCAGGGAAGAUAAUGACGGUACCUGAAGAAGAAGAUCCGGCUAACUCCGUGCCAGCAGCCGCGGUAAUACGGAGGGAUCUAGCGUUAUUCGGAAUUACUGGGCGUAAAGCGAGCGUAGGCGGAUUUGUAAGUUGGAGGUGAAAUCCCAGGGCUUAACCCUGGAACUGCCUUCAAAACUACAUUUCUUGAGUUUGGUAGAGGAGAGUGGAAUUCCUAGUGUAGAGGUGAAAUUCGUAGAUAUUAGGAGGAACACCAGUGGCGAAGGCGACUCUCUGGGCCAAUACUGACGCUGAGGUUCGAAAGCAUGGGUAGCGAACAGGAUUAGAUACCCUGGUAGUCCAUGCAGUAAACGAUGAGUGCUAGAUGUUGGAAGCAUUAGUUUUCAGUAUCGCAGUUAACGCGUUAAGCACUCCGCC
rnacentral:rRNA from 1 species